GGUUAAGCGACUAAGCGUACACGGUGGAUGCCCUGGCAGUCAGAGGCGAUGAAGGGCGUGCUAAUCUGCGAUAAGCGCCGGUAAGGUGAUAUGAACCGUUAUAACCGGCGAUACCCGAAUGGGGAAACCCAGUGUGACUCGUCACACUAUCAUUAACUGAAUCCAUAGGUUAAUGAGGCGAACCGGGGGAACUGAAACAUCUAAGUACCCCGAGGAAAAGAAAUCAACCGAGAUUCCCCCAGUAGCGGCGAGCGAACGGGGAGGAGCCCAGAGCCUGAAUCAGCAUGUGUGUUAGUGGAAGCGUCUGGAAAGGCGCGCGAUACAGGGUGACAGCCCCGUACACAAAAGCGCAUGUGCUGUGAGCUCGAUGAGUAGGGCGGGACACGUGGUAUCCUGUCUGAAUAUGGGGGGACCAUCCUCCAAGGCUAAAUACUCCUGACUGACCGAUAGUGAACCAGUACCGUGAGGGAAAGGCGAAAAGAACCCCGGCGAGGGGAGUGAAAAAGAACCUGAAACCGUGUACGUACAAGCAGUGGGAGCACCCUUUGGGGUGUGACUGCGUACCUUUUGUAUAAUGGGUCAGCGACUUAUAUUCUGUAGCAAGGUUAACCGUAUAGGGGAGCCGUAGGGAAACCGAGUCUUAACCGGGCGUUAAGUUGCAGGGUAUAGACCCGAAACCCGGUGAUCUAGCCAUGGGCAGGUUGAAGGUUGGGUAACACUAACUGGAGGACCGAACCGACUAAUGUUGAAAAAUUAGCGGAUGACCUGUGGCUGGGGGUGAAAGGCCAAUCAAACCGGGAGAUAGCUGGUUCUCCCCGAAAGCUAUUUAGGUAGCGCCUCGUGAAUUCAUCUCCGGGGGUAGAGCACUGUUUCGGCUAGGGGGCCAUCCCGGCUUACCAACCCGAUGCAAACUGCGAAUACCGGAGAAUGUUAUCACGGGAGACACACGGCGGGUGCUAACGUCCGUCGUGAAGAGGGAAACAACCCAGACCGCCAGCUAAGGUCCCAAAGUCAUGGUUAAGUGGGAAACGAUGUGGGAAGGCCCAGACAGCCAGGAUGUUGGCUUAGAAGCAGCCAUCAUUUAAAGAAAGCGUAAUAGCUCACUGGUCGAGUCGGCCUGCGCGGAAGAUGUAACGGGGCUAAACCAUGCACCGAAGCUGCGGCAGCGACACUGUGUGUUGUUGGGUAGGGGAGCGUUCUGUAAGCCUGUGAAGGUGUGUCGUGAGGCAUGCUGGAGGUAUCAGAAGUGCGAAUGCUGACAUAAGUAACGAUAAAGCGGGUGAAAAGCCCGCUCGCCGGAAGACCAAGGGUUCCUGUCCAACGUUAAUCGGGGCAGGGUGAGUCGACCCCUAAGGCGAGGCCGAAAGGCGUAGUCGAUGGGAAACGGGUUAAUAUUCCCGUACUUGGUGUUACUGCGAAGGGGGGACGGAGAAGGCUAUGUUGGCCGGGCGACGGUUGUCCCGGUUUAAGCGUGUAGGUGUGUGUUCCAGGUAAAUCCGGUUCACUUUAACACUGAGGCGUGACGACGAGGCACUACGGUGCUGAAGCAACAAAUGCCCUGCUUCCAGGAAAAGCCUCUAAGCAUCAGGUAACAUCAAAUCGUACCCCAAACCGACACAGGUGGUCAGGUAGAGAAUACCAAGGCGCUUGAGAGAACUCGGGUGAAGGAACUAGGCAAAAUGGUGCCGUAACUUCGGGAGAAGGCACGCUGACACGUAGGUGAAGUGAUUUACUCAUGGAGCUGAAGUCAGUCGAAGAUACCAGCUGGCUGCAACUGUUUAUUAAAAACACAGCACUGUGCAAACACGAAAGUGGACGUAUACGGUGUGACGCCUGCCCGGUGCCGGAAGGUUAAUUGAUGGGGUCAGCGCAAGCGAAGCUCCUGAUCGAAGCCCCGGUAAACGGCGGCCGUAACUAUAACGGUCCUAAGGUAGCGAAAUUCCUUGUCGGGUAAGUUCCGACCUGCACGAAUGGCGUAAUGAUGGCCAGGCUGUCUCCACCCGAGACUCAGUGAAAUUGAACUCGCUGUGAAGAUGCAGUGUACCCGCGGCAAGACGGAAAGACCCCGUGAACCUUUACUAUAGCUUGACACUGAACAUUGAGCCUUGAUGUGUAGGAUAGGUGGGAGGCUUUGAAGUGUGGACGCCAGUCUGCAUGGAGCCGACCUUGAAAUACCACCCUUUAAUGUUUGAUGUUCUAACGUGGACCCGUUACCCGGGUUGCGGACAGUGUCUGGUGGGUAGUUUGACUGGGGCGGUCUCCUCCUAAAGAGUAACGGAGGAGCACGAAGGUUGGCUAAUCCUGGUCGGACAUCAGGAGGUUAGUGCAAUGGCAUAAGCCAGCUUGACUGCGAGCGUGACGGCGCGAGCAGGUGCGAAAGCAGGUCAUAGUGAUCCGGUGGUUCUGAAUGGAAGGGCCAUCGCUCAACGGAUAAAAGGUACUCCGGGGAUAACAGGCUGAUACCGCCCAAGAGUUCAUAUCGACGGCGGUGUUUGGCACCUCGAUGUCGGCUCAUCACAUCCUGGGGCUGAAGUAGGUCCCAAGGGUAUGGCUGUUCGCCAUUUAAAGUGGUACGCGAGCUGGGUUUAGAACGUCGUGAGACAGUUCGGUCCCUAUCUGCCGUGGGCGCUGGAGAACUGAGGGGGGCUGCUCCUAGUACGAGAGGACCGGAGUGGACGCAUCACUGGUGUUCGGGUUGUCAUGCCAAUGGCACUGCCCGGUAGCUAAAUGCGGAAGAGAUAAGUGCUGAAAGCAUCUAAGCACGAAACUUGCCCCGAGAUGAGUUCUCCCUGAGACUUAGAGUCUCCUGAAGGAACGUUGAAGACGACGACGUUGAUAGGCCGGGUGUGUAAGCGCAGCGAUGCGUUGAGCUAACCGGUACUAAUGAACCGUGAGGCUUAACCUU
rnacentral:rRNA from 3 species